GUGGUGGACCCCAACAGGCAGGCAGGAGCGGGGUGUAUUUGAAGAAUUGCAUUUAAAACAACGAAAACUAAAUCCAAAACACUGUCACUCCAAAGUAGCAAACAAAAAUCAUGAGUGAAGAUAAAACAUAACAGCAACCAAAACAUGACUGAAACAAA